ACAAUCAUAUCACAUGGAAACACCGAUUUCUGUACAAUCACCGAAGUUAAGCAACGUCGUGCCUGGUCAGCACCUAGAUGGGUGACCGCUUGGGAAUACUAGGUACUGUAAG